AUUGAACGCUGGCGGCAGGCCUAACACAUGCAAGUCGAGCGGAGCGGCGGACGGGUGAGUAAUUCCUAGGAAUCUGCCUGGCAGUGGGGGAUAACGUCCGGAAACGGGCGCUAAUACCGCAUACUAUCAGAUGAGCCUAGGUCGGUUUAGCUAGUUGGUGGGGUAAAGGCCUACCAAGGCGACGAUCCGUAACUGGUCUGAGAGGAUGAUCAGUCAAACUGGAACUAAGACAGGUUCCAGACUCCUACGGGAGGCAGCAGUGGGGAAUAUUGGACAAUGGGCGAAAGCCUGAUCCAGCCAUGCCGGGUGUGUGAAGAAGGUUUUCGGAUUGUAAAGCACUUGAAGUUGGGAGGCGUUACCAGCAGAAUAAGCACCGGCUAACUUCGUGCCAGCAGCCGCGGUAAUAC
rnacentral:rRNA from 1 species